UACGUAGGGUGCAAGCGUUAAUCGGAAUUACUGGGCGUAAAGCGUGCGCAGGCGGUGAUGUAAGACAGUUGUGAAAUCCCCGGGCUCAACCUGGGAACUGCAUCUGUGACUGCAUUGCUGGAGUGCGGCAGAGGGGGAUGGAAUUCCGCGUGUAGCAGUGAAAUGCGUAGAUAUGCGGAGGAACACCGAUGGCGAAGGCAAUCCCCUGGGCCUGCACUGACGCUCAUGCACGAAGGCGUGGGGAGCAAACAGG
rnacentral:rRNA from 1 species